CUACGGGGCGCUGCAGUGAGGAAUAUUGCACAAUGGGGGGAACCCUGAUGCAGCAACGCCGCGUGGAGGAUGACGCAUUUCGGUGUGUAAACUCCUUUUAUAUGUCAAGAAAAUGACGGUAGCAUAUGAAUAAGCACCGGCUAACUCCGUGCCAGCAGCCGCGGUAAUACGGGAGGGUGCAAGCGUUACUCGGAAUCACUGGGCGUAAAGGACGCGUAGGCGGGUUGGAAAGUCAGGUGUGAAAUCCUACAGCUUAACUGUAGAACUGCACUUGAAACUUCUAAUCUAGAGUAUGGGAGGGGGAGAUGGAAUUAGUGGUGUAGGGGUAAAAUCCGUAGAUAUCACUAGGAAUACCUAAAGCGAAGGCGAUCUCCUGGAACAUUACUGACGCUAAGGCGUGAAAGCGUGGGGAGCAAACAGGAUUAGAUACCCCGGUAGUC
rnacentral:rRNA from 1 species